rnacentral:lncRNA from 1 species
AUGCUGGCGGUGGCGUCGGUCCUCCUUCCCGGCGCGGCUCCCCUUCUGCCUUCCUUCCUGCCUUCCUUCCCGCCGCCGCCGCCUCACGAACCAAAGACGCGCCUCGCGCUGCCUGAGCGGAACCGGAAGCGCCCGCCGACCGGACGCUCCCCGCCACACUUCCGGUGCCCGGCCCCGCCCCUCGGAGGCGGGGCUCGUUGCCCGGGCGACCGCCCAGCGCGGCGGCUGCGGAGGGGGGCGGAGCUGCGCGGUCUCCAUGGCAGCCGGCGCCGGGCGACGAGGCCCCGCCUCCCCGGCCGGAGAGAGACGGAGCGGAGCGGGCGCCAAUGGGGGACGAGGCGCGCUCCUGAGUGGCGGGCGCAGCUGGCCAAUGGGGCUGGGCGGCCGGGCGGGAGGGGCGGGACGCAGCCGGGUCCGCGGCCGGAGGGAGAGCGGCGUCGGCGGCGGAGCGGAGGGUCCCGGCAGCCGGGUGAGCGCGGGGGGCGGGGAGGGCGGCCGGCCUCGGGGCGGGGGGGGGCGGAGCGGCGACUCUCGGGGCUCCGUUUCCCCCCUCCCCGCCCCCUCGGGGCCCGGCGACUUCAAAGGGAGCCUCCCCCCCCCGGACGCCGCUCUGUGUGUGGGGGGGGACACGGGCGCCCCCUGCUGGGCCUGCGGGACACCGGCCGGCCCCCCAUCUGCGGACAGAGGCCCUCGCGGGCCGCCUCCCCCGCUCCUGCUGCUCUGGGGAGGCCCGUGGGGGGGGGGCUCCUGGAGGCCGCCUGCUGGGAGGAGGGAGGGAGGGAGGGAGGGGGCGACCCCUCCUUUGGCCUGGAGGAGCUGCUCGGCUUCUUCCCCCAACUGGGCGCCCGGCAAGCAUCUCCCCCCCCCCCGCUGGGACCUUCCCAUAAGCCGCAGCUUUGGGGGGGGGACUCCUGCUUUUGCCCCCAGUGGGGCAGCGGCGCCUCCCUGGCCCAUCUGGGUGCCCCAUCUCUGCUCCCCCCUCCCAGGCAGGGUCUGUGGGUGGGAGGGCCUGGGGGGGGGGCGAGAGCGCCUGGUCCUGCGCUGCCCAGACCCCCAGUUCCUGCGGGAGAGGAGGGGGCAGCCCCACGGGCUGCAGGGCCCCCCCCAGGAAUAGCCCCCGAAAUGCCCCCGGGCUUCCUGUCGCCUGGCUCCUCUGCAGAAGGAGGCUGGUUCCUCUUCCCUUCCCAGAAGGAGGCGGCUUCCUCAUGGGCUGCUGCUGCUUUUGCUCUACCAGAACCUGGAUGGGGAGCCACACCCGGACUUGCCUGGGGUGGGCAGCCCCCUGAGCCCCCCCAGUGCAAUGGACAGGUGGGGCGCUGCAGAGGGGCAGUUGGGGGAGAGGCAAAGGAAGGGACUUGGUGUGGGGCAGCUGCCUGGUGGGCUUGCCAGCAUAUGGGGUUUGCCAUGCCUGAUGGAAGCCUCUGCCCAGGCAUUCAGGGCGGGACGUUGGAGAAAGAGCCAGCAGAAUGCAUGCAUGUGGGCAUCCGGAACAGAUGCAGCGCUAGCUAA